AAUACUGUUUUUAAAUUUUAGAACAUUUUGUGGCUAUCUGUGGAUUUUGGGAAACACUGGACUAAAAUACAUGAAAAUGUGCAGGCUUUUUCUUGGGGGCAGGGAAUCACAUUUUUUUUCAGCACACAUCCCAAUAAUACACUGGAUGCUGAUCAAAGGGGAGAGUUGCUCUUGAAAAGAACAGAAGACUUGGGAAGAACAUUUAGUACUGUGUCCAGCAACAUGUUCUCAUUUGGAUACAUUGGGCGCUUUCUCUUUACGUCAGUUGUGAAAAAACAGGGUGAACCCAGAGCUUUAUAUGUUUCUUCAGACCAGGGAGACACCUUCAAUCAAGCACAGUUACCCUUGGCUACAAUAGAACAGGUAUCAUUUUGUACA